UACGUAGGGGGCAAGCGUUGUCCGGAUUUAUUGGGUUUAAAGGGUGCGUAGGCGGCCCUGUAAGUCAGUUGUGAAAUACGGCAGCUUAACUGUCGAGGUGCAAUUGAUACUGCAGGGCUUGAGUACUGAUGAGGUAGGCGGAAUGGACGGUGUAGCGGUGAAAUGCUUAGAGAUCGUCCAGAACACCGAUAGCGAAGGCAGCUUACUAAGCUGUAACUGACGCUGAUGCACGAAAGCGUGGGGAUCGAACAGG
rnacentral:rRNA from 1 species